CAGUAGCCGCGGUAAUACAGAGGGUGCGAGCGUUAAUCGGAUUUACUGGGCGUAAAGCGUGCGUAGGCGGCUUCUUAAGUCGGAUGUGAAGUCCCUGAGCUUAACUUAGGAAUUGCAUUCGAUACUGGGAAGCUAGAGUAUGGGAGAGGAUGGUAGAAUUCCAGGUGUAGCGGUGAAAUGCGUAGAGAUCUGGAGGAAUACCGAUGGCGAAGGCAGCCAUCUGGCCUAAUACUGACGCUGAGGUACGAAAGCAUGGGGAGCAAACAGGAUUAGAUACCCCUGUAGUCCCUGUCUCUUAUAC
rnacentral:rRNA from 1 species